CCUACGGGAGGCAGCAGUUAGGAAUAUUGGACAAUGGGGGCAACCCUGAUCCAGCCAUGCCGCGUGUGUGAAGAAGGCCUUAGGGUUGUAAAGCACUUUCAGCUGUGAAGAUAAUGACAGUAGCAGAAGAAGAAGCUCCGGCUAAAUUCGUGCCAGCAGCCGCGGUAAUACGAAUGGAGCGAGCGUUGUUCGGAAUCACUGGGCGUAAAGGGUGCGCAGGCGGUCAUGAAAGUUAGAAGUGAAAUCCCAGGGCUUAACCCUGGAAUGGCUUUUAAAACUCCAUGACUAGAGUACUGGAGAGGUUGGCGGAAUUCCGAGUGUAGAGGUGAAAUUCGCAGAUAUUCGGAGGAACACCAAUGGCGUAGGCAGCCAACUGGACAGUAACUGACGCUCAUGCACGAAAGCGUGGGGAUCAAACAGGAUUAGAUACCCUGGUAGUCCACGCCCUAAACGAUGUGUGCUAGUUGUCGGGUUCUUAGAACUCGGUGACGCAGCUAACGCUUUAAGCACACCGCCUGGGGAGUCGGUCGCAAGNUUAAAACUCAAAUGAUUAGUAGNGUUGAGAGNGCGAGACGACGACGAGGAGAGG
rnacentral:rRNA from 1 species